CUGCUGCUGCUGCUGCACCCGACCUGCUUCCUGGUUCCGAUGAGGAAGUAGCCUCACACUCGGGUGACUGCCUGCCGCUAAAUCUGCCGAGGCUUCAUUGAGCGUCUGGAAAAUCUAAAUGGGUUCAAACCGUUGCUCGUCUCACCGUUUUCUAUAAAUGGCACAGACCCGGAAACGUGACCUUUCUCGGAGGUAGUCCGUUGCAAAAAGCCCUGCUAGGACGGACAUACGUCGUUGCCGUCGCUAAGACUACCAAGGAAAAGAAGCCUUGCUGUCUUUUGGCAGCGCUCCUUUCCUUCCUUCUACUCGGGCUAGACCGGAAUGCAGCUGCCACACAAGCAAGCCAUUGUGGGGACUGGAGCGCCGUAGAGGCGAGCAAGAAGCUUGGUCUCGUCACCGUGGGAUAGAGAAAACGGAAUUUCGAUCUCUGUGUGUCUCGGCAUGUGAAGAAGUUGGCAAUAAAGCAGACUUUGACUUUGAUCUGGAGUUGCAGCAUGCGUGCGUGCUUGCGUGCGUGCGUGCCUGCUCUGGCUUGCGUGGGUCCACAAGUUGUGGACAACACCCUUCAAGAAAAACAAAAGACUCUCUCCAAUAUGUAAAAUCACACACUCGCCCAGGAGAGUUGUUGUUCCUUGUGCUGAUGCUUCAUAAUUGAACAGAACUGCCACCUGACCACUCGAUUCAGUCUCCUCCUUGGGACUGAAAGCAAAUCUAAACAAGUGAAUCAUAUCUCUCUCUCUCUCUCUCUCUCUCUCUGUGUGUGGGGGAUUAAGGAGAGGGGGCGUGACAAAUUCCAGGCUUCCAGGUUGAACACCAAAAGGCAUGGCCAUUGACAAGAAACGUCUGAAUUGUUAUACUUGAAAUGAAACGCCACAAAACAGGAAGUGAGCCUUUAAAGCCAUGGAGUAGUAAUGCUUUUAAUUAACACAAGUCAUUUUGUAAAGGGUAUGUAGGACUCAAGGGGAAGAAAAAAAAUCGACUUUCUACUUCCUUUGAACAUGUUGAUCUUUUUGUUGAAAUAGGUAUCUUUUUAUUUAUACGUUCAAUAAAUGACUCGUCGGUG